AUUGAACGCUGGCGGCAUGCUUUACACAUGCAAGUCGAACGGUAACAGGUUAAGCUGACGAGUGGCGAACGGGUGAGUAAUGCAUCGGAACGUGCCCGGUCGUGGGGGAUAACGCAGCGAAAGCUGCGCUAAUACCGCAUACGAUCUGAGGAUGAAAGCGGGGGACCGUAAGGCCUCGCGCGAUCGGAGCGGCCGAUGUCAGAUUAGGUAGUUGGUGGGGUAAAGGCCCACCAAGCCGACGAUCUGUAGCUGGUCAGCGAGGACGACCAGCCACACUGGGAAGGAGGCAAGGCGCAGACUCCUACGGGAGGCAGCAGUGGGGAAUUUUGGACAAGGGGCGAAAGCCUGAUCCAGCAAUGCGGCGUGCAGGAAGAAGGCACUCGGGUUGUAAACUGCUUUUGUACGGAGCGAAAAGGUCCUUUCUAAUACAAGGGGCUCAUGACGGUACCGUAAGAAUAAGCACCGGCUAACUACGUGCCAGCAGCCGCAGUAAUAC
rnacentral:rRNA from 1 species